CCAGCAAUGGGAUGCGAAUCUCGAAAGCCUGUCUCAGUUCGGAUUGGAGGCUGAAACCCGCCUCCAUGAAGUUGGAUUCGCUAGUAAUCGCGCAUCAGCCAUGGCGCGGUGAAUACGUUCCCGGGCCUUGUACACACCGCCCGUCAAGCCAUGGGAGCCGGGGGUGCCUGAAGUUCGUGACCGCAAGGAGCGACCUAGGGCAAAACUGGUGACUGGGGCUAAGUCGUAACAAGGUACC
rnacentral:rRNA from 1 species